GACGAACGCUGGCGGCGUGCUUAACACAUGCAAGUCGAACGGAAAGGUCCUGCUUUCAGUGUACUCGAGUGGCCAACGGGUGAGUAACACGUGCGUGAUCUGCCCUGCACUUCGGGUUAAGCCUGUGAAACUGAGUCUAAUACCUGAUAGGAGCCAUAUUUAGUGUGAUGGUUGGAAAGUUUUUUCGGUUUAGGAUGAGCUCGCGUCCUAUCAGCUUGUUGGUUUGGUAAUGGCCUACCAAGGCGGCGACGCGUAGCCGGACUGAGAGGGUGGACUGCCACACAGGGACUGAGAUAAGGCACAGAUAGCGACGGGAGGCAGAAGUGGGGAAUAUUGCACAAUGGACGCAAGCCUGAUGCAGAGACGCCGCGUGGGGGAUGACGGCCUUCGGGUUGUAAACUCAUUUCGCUAGGGACGAAGCUUUUUGUGACGGUACCUAGAUAAGAAGCACCGGCUAACUACGUG
rnacentral:rRNA from 1 species